GACCAAAUCAUUUUGAAACAUCAGUUCUCAUCUGAUCACUAAAGUUAAGCAAUGCCGCUCCUGGUCAAUACCUAGAUGGGUGACCACUUGGAAAUACCAGGUGCUGCAAU